AAGCCAAAUGAUGAGUUUUGAUUAAAUCUCUUACGACGGUCAUCUGACGUGCUUGUUGUUAGCACUGAUGUAAUGUUCAACACCACUGAUGGUU